GGGUCGAUGAUGAGACCUCAUAUUGUCUUGAAGAGAGGUGAUGACUUAAAAAUCAUACUCAGUAGGAUUACGCUGAGGCCC
ensembl:snoRNA SNORD115 Small nucleolar RNA SNORD115